rnacentral:lncRNA from 1 species
GAUGCUCAAAUCAGAUUUUUUAUAGUAAGUGAAAAAGAGUGAGCGUUUAUGAGAGGAAUAGGAGACAUACCUAGAGGUCCCCUCGGAUUACCUUUUUAUAGAUGAGAUUGGAGCCUUUGGGAAGAGAAAAGGCCAUAAAAGACCUUUUUCCCCUGAAUUAUAUCUUUACACGGUGCUAUGCCUGGCCUUUAGACUUUUUUUUGAGUAUUGUCACUUUAUAGCACGUAGGGGGCCACCGUAGCUAAGGGCAAGAGCCAUCUGAUAGGAUCCUGAAAAUGGCGUGGGCUUCUCAAGGAUGAUGUGACUGGGCCAUAGGGG